AGAAGUCAUACAUACAUUAUAAAAACAACCCACCCUCUCUUCCUUUUUUUCCCUUCCCCAUUUCACCUUCCUUUUCACAACCAUUUAUUAGAUUCCUCUUUAAUGGACUUUUCUUUUCUCCACUCUAUUGUACAUAUUCUUAGCUGAAAAACAAGAAACCCCAUCUCAAAUCCUUUCAUUACUUGUUCAUAAUCUUUUGCUAUUUUCAGUGGGUUUUUCUGGGACUUAAAAUUACAGACUUCUUUGAGUCUUGUUGGGUUUUUUGGUUUUUUCUUUCUGCACAAUGUUCUGUGUUUAUUGCUGAAAAAAAAAAAUUUAUACCAGUAACUAUUUAUGGUUUUCAGUGGGUUUUUUCUGGGACUUAAAAUUACAGACUUCUUUGAGUCUUGUUGGAUUUUUUGUUUUUUUUUUCUGCAUAAUUUUCUGUGUUUAUUGCAGAAAAAAUAACUUUUAUACCUAUAACUAUAUAUGUAUUUGCUAUAAUCAAAACUUAUAGAUAUACAAUUAUAAAAAAAUUGUAUAUUUUUUUUACCAAUUUCUUAAGCAAGAAAAGAACUUUUCUUCUUUUUUACAUUUUCAGUUUUUGUAAAAAUUAAUUAAGGGAGAAAAGAAAUAAUACUGG
rnacentral:lncRNA from 1 species